GAGUUUGAUCGUGGCUCAGAUUGAACGCUGGCGGCAUGCCUUACACAUGCAAGUCGAACGGCAGCAUGAUCUAGCUUGCUAGAUUGAUGGCGAGUGGCGAACGGGUGAGUAAUACAUCGGAACGUGCCCUGUAGUGGGGGAUAACUAGUCGAAAGAUUAGCUAAUACCGCAUACGACCUGAGGGUGAAAGUGGGGGACCGCAAGGCCUCAUGCUAUAGGAGCGGCCGAUGUCUGAUUAGCUAGUUGGUGGGGUAAAGGCCCACCAAGGCGACGAUCAGUAGCUGGUCUGAGAGGACGAUCGGCCACACUGGGACUGAGACACGGCCCAGACUCCUACGAGAGGCAGCAGGGGGGAAUUUUGGACAAUGGGCGAAAGCCUGAUCCAGCAAUGCCGCGUGUGUGAAGAAGGCCUUCGG
rnacentral:rRNA from 1 species